rnacentral:rRNA from 1 species
GAUGAACGCUGGCGGCGUGCCUAAUACAUGCAAGUCGAGCGAACAGACUAGUAUCUUGCUCCUCUGACGUUAUCGGCUGACGGGUGUGUAACACGUGGAUAACCUACCUAUAAUACUUGUAUAACUUCGGGAAACCGGAUCUAAUACCGGAUAACAUUUUUAACCGCAUUGUUCAACAGUUUAUGACGUUCUUUCUGUCUCUUAUAGAUGGUUCCGCGCCGCAUUAGCUAGUUUUUAAGUUAACGGCUUACCAAGGCAACGAUGGGUAGCCGACCUGAGAGGGUGAUCGGACACACGGGAACUAAGACACGGUAAAGACAACGACGGGAGGCAGCAGUAGGGAAUGUGCCGCAAUGGGCGAAAGGCUGACGGAGCAACGCCGCGUGAGUGAAGAAGGACUAAGGAUCGUAAAACUCUGUUAUUAGGGAAGAAAAAAUGUGUAAGUAAAUAUGCACGUAUUGACGGUACCUAAUCAGAAAGCAACGGCUAACUACGUG